rnacentral:rRNA from 1 species
UACAGAGACUGCAAGCGUUAUUCGGAUUCACUGGGCGUAAAGGGCGCGUAGGCGGCCGGGUGUGUCAGAUGUGAAAUCCCGAGGCUCAACCUCGGAACUGCGUCUGAAACUACUCGGCUAGAGUACUGGAGAGGGUAACGGAAUUCACGGUGUAGCAGUGAAAUGCGUAGAUAUCGUGAGGAACACCAGAGGCGAAGGCGGUUACCUGGACAGUUACUGACGCUCAGGCACGAAAGCGUGGGGAGCAAACAGG